rnacentral:rRNA from 1 species
UGGGGAAUAUUGCACAAUGGGCGCAAGCCUGAUGCAGCCAUGCCGCGUGUGUGAAGAAGGCCUUCGGGUUGUAAAGCACUUUCAGCGAGGAGGAAGGUGGUGAGCUUAAUACGCUCAUCAAUUGACGUUACUCGCAGAAGAAGCACCGGCUAACUCCGUGCCAGCAGCCGCGGUAAUACGGAGGGUGCAAGCGUUAAUCGGAAUUACUGGGCGUAAAGCGCACGCAGGCGGUUUGUUAAGUCAGAUGUGAAAGUCCCCGGGCUCAACCUGGGAACUGCAUUUGAAACUGGCAAGCUAGAGUCUCGUAGAGGGGGGUAGAAUUCCAGGUGUAGCGGUGAAAUGCGUAGAGAUCUGGAGGAAUACCGGUGGCGAAGGCGGCCCCCUGGACGAAGACUGACGCUCAGGUGCGAAAGCGUGGGGCAGCAAACAGGAUUAGAUACCCUGGUAGUCCACGCUGUAAACGAUGUCGAUUUGGAGGUUGUGCCCUUGAGGCGUGGCUUCCGGAGCUAACGCGUUAAAUCGACCGCCUGGGGAGUACGGCCGCAAGGUUAAAACUCAAAUGAAUU